UGGGGAAUAUUGCACAAUGGGGGAAACCCUGAUGCAGCGACGCCGCGUGAACGAAGAAGGUAUUCGUAUCGUAAAGUUCUGUCCUAUGGGAAGAUAAUGACAGUACCAUAGAAGAAAGCUCCGGCUAAAUACGUGCCAGCAGCCGCGGUAAUACGUAUGGAGCGAGCGUUGUCCGGAAUUAUUGGGCGUAAAGGGUACGCAGGCGGUUUAAUAAGUCGAAUGUUAAAGAUCGGGGCUCAACCCCGCAAAGCAUUGGAAACUGAUAAACUUGAGUAGUGGAGAUGAAAGUGGAAUUCCUAGUGUAGUGGUGAAAUACGUAGAUAUUAGGAGGAAUACCAGUAGCGAAGGCGACUUUCUGGACACAAACUGACGCUGAGGUACGAAAGCGUGGGGAGCAAACAGG
rnacentral:rRNA from 1 species